CCUACGGGAGGCAGCAGUGAGGAAUAUUGGUCAAUGGGCGCGAGCCUGAACCAGCCAAGUCGCGUGAGGGAAGACGGUCCUAUGGAUUGUAAACCUCUUUUGUCGGGGAGCAAAAGACGCCACGCGUGGCGUUCCGAGAGUACCCGAAGAAAAAGCCUCGGCUAACUCCGUGCCAGCAGCCGCGGUAAUACGGAGGAUGCGAGCGUUAUCCGGAUUUAUUGGGUUUAAAGGGUGCGCAGGCGGAAGAUCAAGUCAGCGGUAAAAUUGAGGGGCUCAACCUCUUCGAGCCGUUGAAACUGGUGUUCUUGAGUGAGUGAGAAGUAUGCGGAAUGCGUGGUGUAGCGGUGAAAUGCAUAGAUAUCACGCAGAACUCCGAUUGCGAAGGCAGCAUACCGGCGCUCAACUGACGCUCAUGCACGAAAGUGUGGGUAUCGAACAGGAUUAGAGACCCGAGUAGUC
rnacentral:rRNA from 1 species